UGGUGGAGUGAUUUGUCUGGUUAAUUCAGUUAACGAACGAGACCUUAACCGGCUAAAUAGUCACAUGAUUCUCGAAUCAUGACUGACUUCUUAGAGGGACUGUUGGUGUUUAACCAAAGUCAGGAAGGCAAUAACA
rnacentral:rRNA from 1 species